UACGUAGGGUGCGAGCGUUGUCCGGAAUUAUUGGGCGUAAAGGGCUCGUAGGCGGUCUGUCGCGUCGGGAGUGAAAACUCGGGGCUUAACCCCGAGCCUGCAGUGGAUACGGGCAGACUAGAGGUAGGUAGGGGAGAAUGGAAUUCCCGGUGUAGCGGUGAAAUGCGCAGAUAUCGGGAGGAACACCGGUGGCGAAGGCGGUUCUCUGGGCCUUACCUGACGCUGAGGAGCGAAAGCGUGGGGAGCGAACAGG
rnacentral:rRNA from 1 species